rnacentral:lncRNA from 1 species
AGAAAAUCCAAGUUCUCAGUCUAAAGAUUCCAGAAAGCGUUCAGAAUGAACUUAACAGUUCCAUUACACCCCCAGGUAAAGACGUAUAAUUCUGUUAUACAGGGUGUAUGAAAGAAAGGUAAUCGAACUUCAGCGCGCUAUUGUAUCUGAAUUACUCUGCGUAUGAACGAGAUUUUUUCACAUUCGGAAAGAUCAUGCUUUUAGUUGUUGAAUGAUAUCUUCUUCAUGUCAAAUGGAUAAAAAAUGAGCAAAUACGAAUCGGAUAAAAAAUGUUAGUCAGAAUCGCAUAUUUUCACCGUUGAGAGUUGCGUCUAAAACCAUUGAAAAUGAAGCCCCUUUGGUACUUAAGUUGAUCAAUUUUACUUCAAUAAACGACGCACAUAUUCAUAAUUAUUAUUAAGCAGGAAUAAAUCUUAGCUAAGCUACGACACGUUCGUGAUUACCUGUAAUUGCUUUUUCUUUUGUUAUGCAUUGUUUUAAUUAGGCACAGAGGUGAAAAUAUGCGAUUUUGACUAACAUUUUCGAUCGGCCUCGUACAUGCUUAUUUUUUCCCCACUUGGCAUGAAAAGCAUGUCAUUCAAUAGCUAAAAGCCUGAUCUUUCCAAAUAUGAAAACCAAUUGUUCAUACGCCGAGUGAUUCACGUAUAAUAGCGCGCUGAAGUUCGAUUACCUUUUUUUUAUACAUCCUGUACUGUCGAACCCCUAUAUUAAUGGUCACCUGUCUUAAGCAGACACAUACCUCUUGUCCCAAUGAUUUCUUUAAUAAAAUACUCUGGUCUUUAUCUCUAUUCAAGCGGACGCUUAAUUUGAAUUAGGAAGCCGGCGACUGUUUCGAACCUUGAGUGGACACCUUUAUUAAGCGGAAGCGGACACUUGACUGGACGUCCCAAUCAGCGGAAUAACGUCUCUUAAAGCGGACAAACGUAACUGAUGAUGUAAAUAUUCUAAAUCAAAUUUUCAUAACAGUCAAUGGUGGAAAUCAAUUUGAAGAAAAUUCACUAGACACAAAUUUGUUAUUCAUGUUUUGCAGUAUGUGGUAUAUGAACGCCAAUAACUAAUCCCCUAAAACAAACUUUUCUUUCUUUAAAUUGCCUUUCAAGCAGAUGCAAGUAAAACUGUUUCCUCGAAACUUCGCAGGGAAGUUCCACACACCAUAACCAGCCCCUCCGUUGACAUGUUUAUCUUUUAUCACUACUGUUCUUUAAUUAAUUGUGCGUUACCACCAGAUAUGUUCGCUGUUGCAAACACCUUUAAGAGACACAUUGAUGAGAUAAGCAGGCACAUUGGUGAGGUCCCGAAGGUGUACGCUUAAAGUGGGACUAACGCCAAAUAUGUUUUUUUGUAUGUGUAAUAUUUAGGUCAUUCGAAAGCGAAAUUAUGAAAAAUUCCAUCUUGAUCAACUUUUUCACUGUUAAAGUUUGCGGAUAUGAUGUCAUUGGGUGAAUUGCAAAUUAGUUUUCCUGUGUUUUUUGUACCAAAAAUUCACCUAAUGUCAUCAUAUCUGGAACUUUGAUAGUGAAAACCAAGAUGAGGUUUUUUACUAUAAAGAUAUAUUACAUUUCUUCUUAGAAUGACCCAAAUAUUUUUUUAAUACCAUAGCAAAAUUCAUAUUUGGUGUUAGUCACAUUUUAGUAGAGAUUCCACUAUUCUGUAUAUAUAUAAGAUAAACACGACAAAAUGUUGCUUGCAAAAAUAUAUUAAAUUUAAUUUUAUUUAAUUUCGAUAGAUGAUGGGUCUGAUCACUCGAAUGAAGCAUUGUCUGAUAUAGUAGAUAUUGUCUCGCUUCAAAACGGUAAGUCUGCUCAUAACAUAUAACUCUGGGAAGGGCGAACUGGGAUUAAAUGCACUCUAACUGAAACUCGUCAAUUUGAUACUUAUUCGCGACUUCCGUGAGGUAGACCCCCUGCAUAAUAUAUAGGAUUAUGCCAGCUUUUCAGAGGGGAGAUGCGCGCAAUUCCUUUUUAAAAUAGCACUAUCCACUUGACGAGUAAAACUGUCUGGCAUUAGACCGAGUUAAACAAUAAAAGUAGGUGUAUAGAUAGUCUGAUUAACACAUUGAGCGUUGGCGCUCUCCCCUUGAUGAGUAAAAUCGUCUGGCAUUAGACAGAGAAUAAAAUAAUAAAGUAUUAUAGGGUGUAAUGAAACUUUAAUGUGUUAACCAGACAUCCCUUGGUAAGUAAAUCAGUCGAGCCGGGAAUUGGAGAAUGAUUGUUUUAUUUUGUCCCGGUCAGGGUGUAAAAAGUCAACCUUGUCAACAAGAUGUGUUCGCAGCAGGCUUGUAGCAAGCUUGUCAACAAUUUGACAACUUGUUGGAACAGCAUUGCUACAAGUCUGCUGCAGUUUGUUGUACUUUUUUACUUGUGUACAGGUAAUAAGGUGAUCGUCUGUUCAUUUCUAGACGUUCUUUGUAUGAUGAAUUAUUUCAAAACAUGGUUAAAAGAUUGUGGAACAGAUAGUGAAAGUAUUCAUCUUAUUUUACCAUCCAGAAUCAACUGUUCGCCAGGUAUAGUU